AUUGAACGCUGGCGGCAGGCUUAACACAUGCAAGUCGAGCGGAGCGAGGGUGCUUGCACCUUAGCUUAGCGGCGGACGGGUGAGUAAUGCUUAGGAAUCUGCCUAUUAGUGGGGGACAACAUUCCGAAAGGGAUGCUAAUACCGCAUACGCCCUACGGGGGAAAGCAGGGGAUCUUCGGACCUUGCGCUAAUAGAUGAGCCUAAGUCGGAUUAGCUAGUUGGUGGGGUAAAGGCCUACCAAGGCGACGAUCUGUAGCGGGUGUGAGAGGAGGAUCCGCGACGCUGGGAAUGGAACACGGCCCAGAAUACUUCGGGAGGCAGCAGUGGGGAAUAUUGGACAGUGGGCGGAAGCCUGAUCCAGCCAUGCCGCGUGUGUGAAUAAGGCCUUUUGGUUGUAAAGCACUUUAAGCGAGGAGGAGGGUACUCUAGUUAAUACCUAGGGAUAGUGGACGUUACUCGCAGAGUAAGCACCGGCUAACUCUGUGCCAGCCGCCGCGGUAA
rnacentral:rRNA from 1 species